UACGUAGGGCGCAAGCGUUGUCCGGAAUUAUUGGGCGUAAAGAGCUCGUAGGCGGUCUGUUACGUCCGCUGUGAAAACCCAGGGCUUAACCCUGGGCUUGCAGUGGAUACGGGUAGACUAGAGGCAGGUAGGGGAGAAUGGAAUUCCCGGUGUAGCGGUGAAAUGCGCAGAUAUCGGGAGGAACACCGGUGGCGAAGGCGGUUCUCUGGGCCUGACCUGACGCUGAGGAGCGAAAGCGUGGGGA
rnacentral:rRNA from 1 species